GGGCUUGUAAAGGUUUCGACGGGGGCCAUGCAGCCGGAGAAGCGAGUCGUCAGCGAGACGUAAAACGGCAAACUUAAAUAUAAACGCUAACGAAAAUUUAGCUUACGCUGCCUAAUUGCAGCGAGUCUGACCUAGAGCACCUACACUUUAGGAUCCAGGCUUCGACUCUGUAGGAAACGAUCGUUUCAAAGCUUUGAGGAACGAGGCGUAUUAUGAAGCUACUAAACCCGGAAUGGUGACUGUUCCAGUCCGGUAGAGGGAAUGUCAAAUAAUAGUCUACACUCGUAGAAGGACGGGGAAUUGGCUUUCGGACGCGGGUUCGAAUCCCGCCAGGUCCACUA
rnacentral:tmRNA from 1 species